rfam:Perkinsus marinus ATCC 50983 gcontig_1104296497954, whole genome shotgun sequence.
GCCUCGGUAGCUCAGUCGGCAGAGCGCGUGCCUUUUAAGCCCGUGGCCGCGGGUUCGAGGCCCGUCCGAUGUG